rnacentral:rRNA from 1 species
UACGUAGGUGGCAAGCGUUGUCCGGAUUUACUGGGCGUAAAGAGCGCGCAGGCGGUCAAGUAAGUCGAAUGUGAAAGCCCCCGGCUCAACUGGGGAGGGUCAUUCGAUACUGCUCGACUUGAAGGCAGGAGAGGGCAGCAGAAUUCCCGGUGUAGUGGUGAAAUGCGUAGAUAUCGGGAGGAACACCAGUGGCGAAGGCGGCUUCCUGGCCUGUUCUUGACGCUGAGGCGCGAAAGCUAGGGGAGCAAACGGG